rnacentral:rRNA from 1 species
AGAGUUUGAUCCUGGCUCAGAACGAACGCUGGCGGCAGGCCUAACACAUGCAAGUCGAACGCCCCGCAAGGGGAGUGGCAGACGGGUGAGUAACACGUGGGAACAUACCCUCCGGUUCGGAAUAACUCAGGGAAACUUGAGCUAAUACCGGAUACGUCCUGGCGGAGAAAGAUUCAUCGCCGGAGGAUUGGCCCGCGUCCGAUUAGCUAGUUGGUGAGGUAACGGCUCACCAAGGCGACGAUCGGUAGCUGGUCCGAGAGGAUGAUCAGCCACAUUGGGACUGAGACACGGCCCAAACUCCUACGGGAGGCAGCAGUGGGGAAUAUUGGACAAUGGGCGCAAGCCUGAUCCAGCCAUGCCGCGUGAGUGAUGAAGGCCUUAGGGUUGUAAA